GAGCCCUAACGUAUUGAGUUCUGUUUUUCUUUAUUAAUCCUAAAUAAUCGAGACUUUUCUUUUUCAAAACGCAUAAAUAAAAAAUCAUUUUCGGGAAUUCAACAUGUUAUGUCCUAACGCAUUGGGUAUGACAUAUUGUUUUCUCGAGAUGAAGAUUUUCCCUAAAACAAAAGAGAUAUUCAAAGUUUGGGGAUUUUGAGAAAUUGUACCCUAACGUAUUGGGUUUCGAUUUCUUCGUUUG
rnacentral:lncRNA from 1 species